rnacentral:rRNA from 1 species
ACGAACGCUGGCGGCGUGCCUAACACAUGCAAGUCGAGCGGAGACAGUGAGUAGCUUGCUACGAACUGUUUUAGCGGCGGACGGGUGAGUAACGCGUGAGCAACCUUUCCCAGACAGGGGAAUAACACACCGAAAGGUGUACUAAUACCGCAUAAGACCACGGGAUCACAUGGUUCUGAGGUAAAAGAUUUAUCGGUUUGGGGUGGGCUCGCGUCCGAUUAGGUAGUUGGUGAGGUAACGGCCCACCAAGCCGACGAUCGGUAGCCGACCUGAGAGGGUGAUCGGCCACAUUGGGACUGAGACACGGCCCAAACUCCUACGGGAGGCAGCAGUGGGGAAUAUUGGGCAAUGGAGGAAACUCUGACCCAGCAACGCCGCGUGGAGGAAGAAGGUUUUCGGAUCGUAAACUCCUGUCCUUGGAGACGAGUAGAAGACGGUAUCCAAGGAGGAAGCCCCGGCUAACUACGUGCCAGCAGCCGCGGUAAUACGUAGGGGGCAAGCGUUGUCCGGAAUAAUUGGGCGUAAAGGGCGCGUAGGCGGCUCGGUAAGUCUGGAGUGAAAGUCCUGCUUUUAAGGUGGGAAUUGCUUUGGAUACUGUCGGGCUUGAGUGCAGGAGAGGUUAGUGGAAUUCCCAGUGUAGCGGUGAAAUGCGUAGAGAUUGGGAGGAACACCAGUGGCGAAGGCGACUAACUGGACUGUAACUGACGCUGAGGCGCGAAAGUGUGGGGAGCAAACAGGAUUAGAUACCCUGGUAGUCCACACUGUAAACGAUGAAUGCUAGGUGUAGGGGGUAUCGACCCCUUCUGUGCCGCAGUCAACACAAUAAGCAUUCCGCCUGGGGAGUACGACCGCAAGGUUGAAACUCAAAGGAAUUGACGGGGGCCCGCACAAGCAGUGGAGUAUGUGGUUUAAUUCGAAGCAACGCGAAGAACCUUACCAGGUCUUGACAUCCCGAUGACCGGCCCGUAACGGGGCCUUCUCUUCGGAGCAUUGGAGACAGGUGGUGCAUGGUUGUCGUCAGCUCGUGUCGUGAGAUGUUGGGUUAAGUCCCGCAACGAGCGCAACCCUUAUGGUCAGUUACUACGCAAGAGGACUCUGGCCAGACUGCCGUUGACAAAACGGAGGAAGGUGGGGACGACGUCAAAUCAUCAUGCCCCUUAUGACCUGGGCUACACACGUGCUACAAUGGCCACGACAGAGAGAAGCGAAAUCGCAAGGUAGAGCGGAACUCAAAAAAGUGGUCCCAGUUCGGAUUGUGGGCUGCAACCCGCCCACAUGAAGUCGGAGUUGCUAGUAAUCGCGGAUCAGCAUGCCGCGGUGAAUACGUUCCCGGGCCUUGUACACACCGCCCGUCACACCAUGGGAGUUUGUAACACCCGAAGUCAGUGACCCAACCGCAAGGAGGGAGCUGCCGAAGGUGGGAUAAGCGACUGGGGUG